rnacentral:pre_miRNA from 1 species
GAGCUGACCCUAUGGAGCAGGACUUGCUUCAGUGAGGCUUUGGUGCUCACCGAGUCUGCCCCUUGAAUGUGUCACU